AAAGAGUCCCUCCCGACUGUUUACCAAAAACACAGCACUCUGCUAACUCGUAAGAGGAUGUAUAGGGUGUGACGCCUGCCCGGUGCUCGAAGGUUAAUUGAUGGGGUUAGCAUUAGCGAAGCUCUUGAUCGAAGCCCGAGUAAACGGCGGCCGUAACUAUAACGGUCCUAAGGUAGCGAAAUUCCUUGUCGGUUAAAUACCGACCUGCAUGAAUGGCGUAACGAGAUGGGAGCUGUCUCAAAGAGGGAUCCAGUGAAAUUGUAGUGGAGGUGAAAAUUCCUCCUACCCGCGGCAAGACGGAAAGACCCCGUGGACCUUUACUACAGCUUGACACUGCUAUUUGGAUAAGAAUGUGCAGGAUAGGUGGGAGGCUUUGAGUAUAUGACGCCAGUUGUAUAUGAGCCAUUGUUGAGAUACCACUCUUUCUUAUUUGGGUAGCUAACCAGCUUGAGUUAUCCUCAAGUGGGACAAUGUCUGGUGGGUAGUUUGACUGGGGCGGUCGCCUCCCAAAUAAUAACGGAGGCUUACAAAGGUUGGCUCAGAACGGUUGGAAAUCGUUCGUAGAGUAUAAAGGUAUAAGCCAGCUUAACUGCAAGACAUACAAGUCAAGCAGAGACGAAAGUCGGUCUUAGUGAUCCGGUGGUUCUGUGUGGAAGGGCCAUCGCUCAAAGGAUAAAAGGUACCCCGGGGAUAACAGGCUGAUCUCCCCCAAGAGCUCACAUCGACGGGGAGGUUUGGCACCUCGAUGUCGGCUCAUCGCAUCCUGGGGCUGGAGCAGGUCCCAAGGGUAUGGCUGUUCGCCAUUUAAAGCGGUACGCGAGCUGGGUUCAGAACGUCGUGAGACAGUUCGGUCCCUAUCUGCCGUGGGCGUAAGAAGAUUGAAGAGAUUUGACCCUAGUACGAGAGGACCGGGUUGAACAAACCACUGGUGUAGCUGUUGUUCUGCCAAGAGCAUCGCAGCGUAGCUAAGUUUGGAAAGGAUAAACGCUGAAAGCAUCUAAGCGUGAAGCCAACUCUAAGAUGAAUCUUCUCUAAGCUCUCUAGAAGACUACUAGUUUGAUAGGCUGGGUGUGUAAUGGAUGAAAGUCCUUUAGCUGACCAGUACUAAUAGAGCGUUUGGCUUAUCUUUAAUAAAGCAU
rnacentral:rRNA from 1 species